ensembl:lncRNA
AUGGCUGUGCGGCGAGCAGUUUACACGGACUCUCUGCAGCUUGGAGGUCUGCUCUCAGCCCGCUUUGAUUGUAGCUCGUCCUCUGCGCAGCUCUCGAAGCAAAGCGAUCAAAAGCUGCAACACCGGUCACUUUGCAAAAGGGAACAAACACAGGAGGAUGUUCGUGCACUGAGCGCUUUUUGCUUGGGAAUGAAGUCUGUCACCCCGCUGCUCUUCCGUGCAAAAGGGUUCAGGAAGCAGGCUGGAGAGAGCCGUCCGCAGUCCCCUGCUGCUCCCCUCUGUGCUGGGCUGGGGAUAUUAAAUCGUUACUUCUGGCAGGCUCCGAGAUGCUCUCAAGUGGUUUUUAGUCUGGCGCUCUGGUCUAUCCAUAUACAUUUCCAAUCUCAUGGCUCAUAAACUAUUAGCAAAAGGAUUUCAUUAUUCACCUUCUGUAUCCUACAAAAGACAGAGGGGUAAAAUAUACUCCUGGUAACAAUGAGAACUGAGCUAGGUUUAAAUCACGCCGAGCUGGAGAGCGAAGCCUCCGCAGUUUCAGGGUCCGUGUAAGCCUUCCCCUCUGUAGGUAUGCCCAUCUAUCUAGCAAUCUAGCUUUUCGGAUGAAAUUGUGUCCCUUUCCUCUUUUCUUUUUUCCCUUCCUUUUCCUUUUCCUUUUUUCCCCCACACGGUUGUGCACAUUUGCUUUGCGCAGAGGCCAUUGUUCAAGAGAGAUCAAGUGGCGGGGAGAGAGGGAACCUUUUCUUGAAGCAGGGGGUCGAAGAGGAGCAUUUCACAUUGUGCAUGAAACGAGAGGGGGAGACUUCCAAAAUAAUCAUUAGCAAAGCUGAAUAAGGAACCGCAGAGCAAGCCCAAGCAGGUGCCAGGUGUGUCAAGAACGUGUGGAAGUUACUUUGCUCCUCGCAAGAAUCUGAUCGACCCAGCAAGCGCCCGAACACAAAGGCAAAUGUUGCUGCUGCUGUCAUUCCUCCAGACAACUGAUGGGAUGGUUUUCCAGGGAGCCCAGAGAAGGAGCCCUCGGGGCAAAGAGAGGGUCACCAACGCAAUUUCGAGAUACCCGCCGAUUUGUAUUCGGAUUGAAACAUCACCAGGAAGCCAUCGGGUUGCCUGUGCCCCCUAAAAGUGAGAAGAGAAGAGUUGGGUCAUGCAAACUUGCAAACACAAUGAAAUGCUGUGGGAACACAUGGAGGGCAGUGGGAUGGGGGGCAGGGCAACCAGAAAGCUCAGCCCAGAGGACAUCCAGGGCUAGGUUUCAGCUAGCACAGUCCAACUGGUCUCCUUUUAUUCUUGAAAUGGUCACUCGCCUAGCAAAUGUAUAGAAACAGAAGGCUCAGAUACGUGUGUGCCCCCAAAGCGCGCGCGCAGCGCAAGCAAGCAAGCGCACAGCCCCCUCGAAGUGCAUCACCUGAGUAAGAAAGAAGAAUAAUUUCCAGAAAAUAAAAGAGAGGCCCCCCGCGCAAUGAGCCUCCUUUCCUUCUUCUCCUUGCUUCCCAAUGGGCUGCAGCCACAUUCACACUGACACAGGAAAAAGCAGUUGGGGAGGUUUAAAAUCAGGAAAGGCAGCGGGAGAAAAGAGGCACCACCAACACUUAGCAAUUUGGGCAGCGCACGCAACAAAAAAAUUAUUUGAGCGAAGUCUCAGGUCAUUUUCAAGAAACAGGCCAAUGUUCUCCGGCUGCUUAAUAUACAUGGUGUGGGAAAUGGCAGGAAAACCCACAGCGAAGGGCUAGAGCCAUAAAGAAAGGAAUCCAAAUUACCACUUAAUGUCCAUAUGUAUUUGGGGGCCAAGGUGGGUAAUGAAAUAAGGUACACUUCAAAGAUAAGGUUUUAAACUUUAUAUAAUGACCUCCUUUUUUUGCAUCUCAAGUCAUUUAAAAGGAGUGGGGGAGGGUGUAAAUAGAGACUUGCAUGAUGCAGUGGUUUUAAAUACAUAUAUAUAUUAUUUACAGGUACUAAAUAACUGUGUGGGCUGAGUAAUUAAGCACCGUGAGGGAAAGCAGCAAAGUGACUGACCUUGGGUGACUUUUUAAUAUAAUUAAGACCUCAACCUGAGAAAUAUCUGCAAUAUAUAUAUAUAUAUAUAUAUAUAUAUAUAUAUAUAUAUAUAUAUUGCACACACGGCUACCGUAUACACACACACACAAAAAAUACCUGCUACACCUCUUUUGGAGCAUAACUACAUUAACUGAAAGGGGUUGGUAUGUGGUACACUUAACACUCUUUCUUACGACAGUUAUUGAAAAGGGUUUUGUUUUGUUUUGCCCUGUUUCACUCACCACAUUAAUCAAAGGUGGAUUAAAAAGAUCAGAUCACUUGAAAAGGUAUCUGUUCUGAUCGCUCUGAAAAUGCUAAACUGUUUCAGUGUUAGAGAUAAGCCAUGGUGGCGUGACUUGCUGACACAAAGGUCGGCAAGGGUUACCUCAGAAGUUUUAACGGCCUCGGAGCUAACGUUUCCCGCCACUUUUUCGCGCCAAAACAGCAAAUAGACGGGGCUGAGGAGAAAGACUUCGGGCUGCCCGCCCAGCGACAGCAAAGCAAGGCGGGGCAAAGCCAGUAGAUGCGGCUGUCCUUUGCUGCAGCCUCUUGUUUUGCCAAUAGUUGGUUCCCCUCCGUGAGGGAAAGCAACAGAAAGUAGAUUUGGGAGUUUGUUGAUCAGGUCAUAGGCAGCACACAGUCACCCACCAGCUUUCCCCCAGGAAAUAUUUUCUCACCUCUCCCUUCCAACAUCCUUAUGGUUUCAGAGUCCCAUAAGAGGAGGAAGGGAUGGGGGAGAGAGAUCUCACCUCCGGCCCCAUCUGAAAAACUAAAAUGCUUAUUUACUUCUGUCCACUCAGGUUUCUUUUGUUGAGCAAAGGACACUGCAGGCAAAAUUAUCUCAUGUACCACAGCUCUCCCUUGUGCUCCUGGACUAAGUUUUUAUUGCUCAUGCCUACCCUUUAAGCAGCUGGAGUGCAUUCCACACCACAACUAGCCACCCCAGUGUAUAACUCAGGAGUUAAAGAGUAACUCCUGCUGGAGGUAAUAAGUAAUAAAGGGCUUCUGUUAC